GUGUGCGUGGCGUGCCUCAUCCCGCUCUUCCUCAUCCCCUUCGUCAACGCGCUCCCCUACCUCUUCGACCUCCUCCUCAGCAAGGUUUAUCGCAUGCUUGGAUGGGAAUACAGGAGGCCCGAGAGAGUCCCAGCUGCCUGCCCGUUCAAGCCUGCAGCAAACAAGACUGAAGGUGUGGGUGAAUCAAAACCAGUAGCAAAUCCUCAUGUUGCAAGUGCAAAUCCUCUGGUGGAACCCCAGAGUGCUACCACAGAAAUGAAGAAAGAUGAUUAG
rnacentral:rRNA from 1 species